UCAGCUCCCUUCUCGAGCUUAUCUGAAGGGCGACGUGAAUCCACGCAUCCGGGGAUUUUCUGAGCCGCUCGUCCUCACGAGGGUCGAGAGAGUGCCGGAGGAGACGGGGCGCACCCUGAGCUGCUCGCCAGGCAGUCGCGGGUUAUCGGGACACGUCGAACUCACGCGAGAAGCUUCGGACUGCGAGUGACUCUCCAGACUCACAAAUGGCGGACGAGUGCUCGCACAUCUUCAAGAGCGCCCCGAAGCAUCCCGAGCCCGAAGGUUCGACUCGCGUCAGCGACAUUUUCGAGUCCGCAAAGUCCGUUCAAGGUCUGGAAAAAAGGAAGAAAACAUCUUGCGAUGGAAGAGAAGCUGACGUUGUGACAAGUUCAAAGUUGUUGCGGUUUAAAUGAUCAUCGCAAUGGGCUGGAUUGCCUCCACUUGUUGUAUCUUUGCGUUUUUGGUUUUAAGAGCCCCCCCCCCGCCCGCCCGCCAACCUCAUUCUUCCUGGGCCGGUUUGUUUCGUUCCUUUUCUCUUCGGCCGCACUUUUGCACCCCCAAUCGCUCUUGCUCACGGGCAAUUACCCAGACAAAUGCCGUUUGUUUUCCAGUCCGAAUGAAAGGAAAUGAAUACAUUUAUCAGUCGAUUACAUUUUGAGUUUGAGGUCACUUGCUGUAUUAUGUUCUCGGCGAGGGGAGGGGGGGGGGCGGGGGUCACAGUGUCACUCCUUCAAUUUGCACACUACAUUAGCCAUGCAGAUUUAUGUAAAUUCCUUCCCGGUGUUUGGCGAUGGCGCUCCGCUCAAAGCGGAUCCAAAGCGCCACCAGAAAUUUGCCGAGCUAGACAAAUAAAAAACAAAACAAAACAAAAAAACAGCUGAAUGACGUCGCAAGGUGGGGGUGCUUUCCGCGGUCGACCUCGUGCGGGCAUUUCUUAAGCGGAUCGCGCAUUUUACUCCGCCGAGGGCAAAAGCGAGGACAGGCGCGACAUCGUCACCGGUCCACAAUUUUAUCCCCCGAACGCUUCAAAUGGCGUACUUUUGUUUUUAGCCUGAUGUUGAAUAUUAUGCUACGAAUCAUCCACCAUUUGGUGAAACUAUUUCCGAAUAAUCGGCAUUCUUUUGUCAUAUUUGAGCCCCUCUCAAUUCUAUCAAAAUUUUCAAUUAGAAUCCUUGAAAAAAGUGCGUGAGAACACGCUGUUCUUUGAUUAGCGCCCCCCCCCCCCAACCAACCAGCCUGCAGCAUCUCGCUCUCGCGCACACGUCUCAACUUUGAAGUGUGACCCCCCCCCCCACCCCACCCCCACACCCGCAGAACGAUUUUCCUCUCCUCCCCCCAACAGAUUCCACAUGGGCUUUUUAGGUGUUUGACUUGAACCGGCUUCCCUGAGGUGUGGGGGGCGGAGGGGGGGGGGCGCUUAUCAGCGCCAACCAGAUGCACUGAUGUGUGUGUGCGUGCGUGUGUGUUAAUUCCCUCUUAGUGCCUCAGUCGUGGCCCGUUUUAGUGGAGGUGGUGACUCGCGCUUUCGUUUCUUGUUUCAUACGGCGAGAUUUUUGAAAUGCCAGACUUCUAAUGCGGCGAAAGAUCACAAAUAGCAAAAUGAUGCGCCUAAUGUGAUGUUUUAUGAUGCUUUUACGCCGAACUUGUCAGCUGAGCUCAAAUAACGAAGCUGACGAAUUUGCUACUAUUUGACGCCACGCAUGUUCGCGCCCGCCCGCCCGCCCGCCCGCACGUCAUCCCCGUGUCAAGUGACCAUUUGCUGCAGAGCUGCAAUUCGGAACAUUCAGCGGUCCCGCGUGUGUGUGUGUGUGUGUGCCCAAAUUGAGCAAAACGAAAAAGUCUCCGCCGUCUAGUUGCCAUAGUAACAGGCAAUUCACAGCAUCUGGCAAAUUAUGGGGCUGCGUUGAAGGGCGAGAAGGAGACCGCGAACCCCUCCCGCAUGCAAAAUGUCUUCUUCAGGUGCACAGAAAGCAGGGGGGAAAAAAAAGGAUCAAUUAUUAUUUUCCACUCCAUCGAUCGCAGGUGCUACACACAAACGCGCCUCAUGAUGAUUGCUAUUGUUAUGAUAACAGCAAAAUCAAUAAAGAAACAAAGCCUGCGUCCAUGAUGUUCUCGCUAUAAUUACCUUU